UGGGGAAUAUUGCACAAUGGGGGAAACCCUGAUGCAGCGACGCCGCGUGAACGAAGAAGGUAUUCGUAUCGUAAAGUUCUGUCCUAUGGGAAGAUAAUGACAGUACCAUAGAAGAAAGCUCCGGCUAAAUACGUGCCAGCAGCCGCGGUAAUACGUAUGGAGCGAGCGUUGUCCGGAAUUAUUGGGCGUAAAGGGUAUGCAGGCGGUUUAAUAAGUCGAAUGUUAAAGAUCGGGGCUCAACCCCGCAAAGCAUUGGAAACUGAUAAACUUGAGUAGUGGAGAGGAAAGUGGAAUUCCUAGUGUAGUGGUGAAAUACGUAGAUAUUAGGAGGAAUACCAGUAGCGAAGGCGACUUUCUGGACACAAACUGACGCUGAGGUACGAAAGCGUGGGGAGCAAACAGG
rnacentral:rRNA from 1 species